CCAAUAUAGAAUGUUUAUUGUACCAUAUCCCCUCUUCAUUCUAGCCCUGACAUCUUCCAGGAAAAAAAAAGUGCAACAUAUCAGCUUGAUGACAAAUGAGAAUGCCUCCCUUUGAAGUUUCUGAAAAUAAUGUGAAAGAUUAGGAAAACAGUACUGCCUCCCACUACAUUCUGUGUUUUCUUCCUCUCUUCUGCUGCAAGAGAUAUUGGAGGAAAAUGUGCAAUGACCAAGAUUUGUACUGGCUAACAGGAAAUGGGAUAUGGAUUUGUUUUACUAUUUCUCCACUGACAUCAGAGAUUAUGACAACAAACAUGGCCAGCCAUGGAUCAGAACGAUGGAGCACUUCAGAUCCAGAAUGUGUCUGAAUAUGAGUCAGAAUGUGUAUGUAGAACAUCAAACAGAAGACGGUAUGCAGAGACUGAUGAGGCACUGGAGGAAGUUGCCCAGAGAGGUGAUGCCUCUGGAGACAUUCAAGGUCAAACUGGACGGAUUUUGAGCAACCUGAUCUAGCUGUAGGCCUCCCUUUUCAUUGCAGGGGAGUUGGUCUAGAUGACCUUUAAGGGCCCUUUCCAAUGCUAAGAAUUCUAUGAUUGUAAUUAAAAAUAUACUUUCAAUUUGCAUUAGUGAUAUAUUCACACAAGUUACAGAGAGCUUUUAGGAUAGACUUGACAUUAAAAUCUAAAAAAA
rnacentral:lncRNA from 1 species